rnacentral:rRNA from 1 species
UGGGGAAUAUUGGACAAUGGGCGAAAGCCUGAUCCAGCAAUGCCGCGUGAGUGAUGAAGGCCUUAGGGUUGUAAAGCUCUUUUACCAGGGAUGAUAAUGACAGACCUGAGAAUUUUUUAGA